UACGUAGGGUGCGAGCGUUGUCCGGAAUUAUUGGGCGUAAAGAGCUCGUAGGCGGUUUGUUGCGUCGGCCGUGAAAACCUGCAGCUUAACUGUGGGCCUGCGGCCGAUACGGGCAGACUUGAGUUCGGUAGGGGAGACUGGAAUUCCUGGUGUAGCGGUGAAAUGCGCAGAUAUCAGGAGGAACACCGGUGGCGAAGGCGGGUCUCUGGGCCGAUGACUGACGCUGAGGAGCGAAAGCGUGGGGAGCGAACAGG
rnacentral:rRNA from 1 species